CAGCAAGCACAGAACACAGCAUGUUGAUUCUUUUAAUCAUUCCCUUUUCAGGGAUAUAACAUUUUGGAGGCCCCACUGGGAUUGAGUGUACAGAGGAUGACCUAAUGCAAACAAAGGCUGCCUCAAUGAAAAAUUAAUCCCUGAAACAACCCAGUUAGCAGAGUGUCGGGAGCAGCGAACAACAAAUGGAGGAUACGCCCAGAGGCUGAGGGAAGAGUGCAUGCAACUUGAGAGGCGGAGUUGGAGCGCGGGACUGCAGCCACGGAGCCAGUUCCAGAUCACAGAGCACUACCCUCCCUUCACCAACAUCAGCACUCCCCGUGUGGAUUACAGAGCACUCUCAUGCACAGGACACUCGGGAUUUCAUUGUGGACACUUUCUGUUUGGGUUUUGUAUUUUUGUUUUGUGUGUCAGCCAGCUGUGUUCCCCCCAAAUACCAUCGCUGGUAAAGGGGAGGU